AUUGAACGCUGGCGGCAUGCUUUACACACGCAAGUCGAACGGUAACAGGGUGCUUGCACCGCUGACGAGUGGCGAACGGGUGAGUAAUGCGUCGGAACGUGCCGAGUAGUGGGGGAUAACGCAGCGAAAGUUGUGCUAAUACCGCAUACGUACUGAGGUAGAAAGUGGGGACCUUCGGGCCUCACGCUAUUCGAGCGGCCGACGUCUGAUUAGCUAGUAGGUGAGGUAAAGGCUCACCUAGGCGACGAUCAGUAGCGGGUCUGAGAGGAUGAUCCGCCACACUGGGACUGAGACACGGCCCAGACUCCUACGGGAGGCAGCAGUGGGGAAUUUUGGACAAUGGGCGAAAGCCUGAUCCAGCCAUGCCGCGUGUCUGAAGAAGGCCUUCGGGUUGUAAAGGACUUUUGUCAGGGAGGAAAUCCCUAGUGCUAAUAACACUGGGGGAUGACAGUACCUGAAGAAUAAGCACCGGCUAACUACGUGCCAGCCGCCGCUGUAA
rnacentral:rRNA from 1 species